AACUAGAGACCGGCGCACGGGUGCGUAACGCGUAUGCAAUCUACCUUUUGCAGAGGGAUAGCCCAGAGAAAUUUGGAUUAAUACCUCAUAGUAUAGCAGUUUCGCAUGAAACCACUAUUAAAGUCACAACGGCAAAAGAUGAGCAUGCGUCCCAUUAGCUAGUUGGUAAGGUAACGGCUUACCAAGGCUACGAUGGGUAGGGGUCCUGAGAGGGAGAUCCCCCACACUGGUACUGAGACACGGACCAGACUCCUACGGGAGGCAGCAGUGAGGAAUAUUGGACAAUGGGCGCAAGCCUGAUCCAGCCAUGCCGCGUGCAGGAUGACGGUCCUAUGGAUUGUAAACUGCUUUUGUACAGGAAGAAACACUCCCUCGUGAGGGAGCUUGACGGUACUGUAAGAAUAAGGAUCGGCUAACUCCGUGCCAGCAGCCGCGGUAAUACGGAGGAUCCAAGCGUUAUCCGGAAUCAUUGGGUUUAAAGGGUCCGUAGGCGGUUUAGUAAGUCAGUGGUGAAAGCCCAUCGCUCAACGGUGGAACGGCCAUUGAUACUGCUAGACUUGAAUUAUUAGGAAGUAACUAGAAUAUGUAGUGUAGCGGUGAAAUGCUUAGAGAUUACAUGGAAUACCAAUUGCGAAGGCAGG
rnacentral:rRNA from 1 species